rnacentral:rRNA from 2 species
CGACUCUCGGCAACGGAUAUCUCGGCUCACGCAUCGAUGAAGAACGUAGCAAAAUGCGAUACUUGGUGUGAAUUGCAGAAUCCCGUGAACCAUCGAGUUUUUGAACGCAAGUUGCGCCCGAAGCCUUCUGGCCGAGGGCACGUCUGCCUGGGCG